GGACCCAGAGCGGACCCGAAAACCUGUCUCAGUUCGGAUUGGAGUCUGCAACCCGACUCCAUGAAGCUGGAUUCGCUAGUAAUCGCGCAUCAGCCACGGCGCGGUGAAUACGUUCCCGGGCCUUGUACACACCGCCCGUCACACCAUGAGAGUCGGGAACACCCGAAGUCCGUAGCCUAACCGCAAGGAGGGCGCGGCCGAAGGUGGGUUCGAUAAUUGGGGUGAAGUCGUAACAAGGUAUC
rnacentral:rRNA from 1 species